rnacentral:tRNA from 1 species
GCCCCGAUAUUCCAACAGGGAGAGAAAGCGAGCUCAAACCUCGUACAGUGUGGGUUCGAAUCCCACUCGGGGCA